CGCGGGGUGGAGCAGCCUGGUAGCUCGUCGGGCUCAUAACCCGAAGGUCGUCGGUUCAAAUCCGGCCGCCGCAACCA
rnacentral:tRNA from 1 species